rnacentral:rRNA from 1 species
UGGGGAAUCUUGGACAAUGGGCGCAAGCCUGAUCCAGCCACGCCGCGUGAGUGAUGAAGGCCUUAGGGUUGUAAAGCUCUUUUGCCGGGGACGAUAAUGACGGUACCCGGAGAAUAAGUCCCGGCUAACUUCGUGCCAGCAGCCGCGGUAAUACGAAGGGGACUAGCGUUGUUCGGAAUCACUGGGCGUAAAGCGCACGUAGGCGGAUUUGUAAGUCAGGGGUGAAAUCCCGGGGCUCAACCUCGGAACUGCCUUUGAUACUGCGGAUCUCGAGUCCGAUAGAGGUGAGUGGAAUUCCUAGUGUAGAGGUGAAAUUCGUAGAUAUCAAGAGGAACACCUGAGGUGAAGACGGGUUGCUGGGCUGACACUGACGCUGAGGCGCGAAAGCCAGGGGAGCAAACGGGAUUAGAUACCCUUGUAGUCCCUGAGCGGGCUGGCAAGGCGCAU